GCCGCUGUGGGUGGAGUCUCAGUUCCGGGACUGACAGGGUUCAGGUGUGAUGGGUGCUCAGUGAUUCUGGAGGGACGUGGUGACUGUUGACAACACAACUUCUCUGGACCCAAGACUCUACACUCUUCAGAGUAGGGGUGAAGGCAAGUCAGCGACUAGACAAGGAGUCAUGAAGAGACAGCGGGGAGCCCUGCUGGGGCUUCUGUGGGUGCAGGUUUGCUGGGUGAGAGGGAUGGACGUGGAGCAGACACCUGCAGCCGUGAGCCUCCAGGAGGGAGCCAGCUCUACCCUGAGGUGCAAUUUUUCCAGCUCGGUGACCAACGUGCAGUGGUUCCGACAGAACCCCGGAGGCGGCAGCCUCACCCGGCUGUUUUACAUCGCUUCAGGGAUGAAGCAGGAUGGGAGGUUGAACUGCACGGUGAACACUAAGGACCGGCACAGCAGCCUGCACAUCAGGGCCUCCCAGCAGGAAGACUCAGCCACCUAUCUGUGUGCGGUGGAGGCACAGUGCUCCCUGCUGCUCUGCAGCCUGUCCCCAAACUGCAGCUGGGCUCGUGGCCCCAGCUCUCCAUGGGGCAGGCACUUAUUUGCCCACACAGGAGUUUUUGCACAUUUUCAUACUUCUGUUACAGUACUUUUUUCCCUUCUAAAAGUAUACCCAUCAGGGCUGUCAUUUCACUUUUGCUUUUCUUGCCUUUUUUCUUCCGAGAAAGCCCCUUCCAGGUAAAAAGCUCUACCAUGGAACCAUUGGAGUAGUUGAUGGAGAUGCCAAUAUCCAAUGCCCAGUUAAAACAUAUCUCCUGGCAGCUAGCAUAUAAAUUAUAUGUAAAUUACUCAGAGGGAAAAGGCUUGAAAACAUAUAUGGUCAUCAACCAUGACCAUAUGACUAAGAGAUGACUAAAUUUUUCAGUUACCUGCACAUGGUUUUUUUUUUUUUCAAAGAAAAUAAAACAGAACGUGUGUAAUGUUUUUUAAAGUUUGUAUUCGGCUUUUACACUCCUGGAAAUACAAAUAUAAUAAAACAAUUUUUAUUGAAGUUCAA